rnacentral:rRNA from 1 species
AUUGAACGCUGGCGGCAGGCUUAACACAUGCAAGUCGAGCGAGCGGCGGACGGGUGAGUAAUGUCUGGGAAACUGCCCGAUGGAGGGGGAUAACUACUGGAAACGGUAGCUAAUACCGCAUACCAUCAGAUGUUCCCAGAUGGGAUUAGCUAGUAGGUGGGGUAAUGGCUCACCUAGGCGACGAUCCCUAGCUGGUCUGAGAGGAUGACCAGCCACACUGGAACUGAGAAACGGUCCAGACUCCUACGGGAGGCAGCAGUGGGGAAUAUUGCACAAUGGGCGCAAGCCUGAUGCAGCCAUGCCGCGUGUGUGAAGAAGGCCCUAGGGUUGUAAAGUACUUUCAGCCGGGAGGCGUUACCGGCAGAAGAAGCACCGGCUAACUCCGUGCCAGCCGCCGCGGUAAUAC